rnacentral:lncRNA from 1 species
UUUAGUUUCAUAGGGUGUUUUGAGUGUCUCUGGUGAAAUGAAACCUUGAGGUAAAAAAUUAUUUUGGAUUUUAGUUUUGUGAAAAUGCAUGGUUUGUCAAUAAAUGUAAGCACUUCAGUAAUUUUUAAAGUUUUUCUGUAGGAUAAAGUUUACAUUAUACAGUAAUAAGUUAAUAUGAACUCAAACCUAUGUAAUCAUAAUUUACCCAAUGAUACUUUGAUUGGGGAUAAUAAAAUGUUAAUGUAUUGAUAACAGUUGGCACCAAAUAAUCAUUUUUGUGGUGAUACAUUAAUGAGAGGGGGUGAGAUGUGAAUAGC